rnacentral:rRNA from 1 species
CGGCAACAGCUCAAAUUUGAAAUCUGGCUCUUUCAGGGUCUGAGUUGUAAUUUGUAGAAGAUGCUUCGGGUGUGGUACCGGUCUAAGUUCCUUGGAACAGGACGUCAUAGAGGGUGAGAAUCCCGUAUGUGACUGGUCACCUUCGCUCAUGUGAAGCUCUUUCGAC